rnacentral:rRNA from 1 species
AAGUAGGGCGGGACACGUGAUAUCCUGUUUGAAGAUGGGGGGACCAUCCUCCAAGGCUAAAUACUCCUGAUUGACCGAUAGUGAACCAGUACUGUGAAGGAAAGGCGAAAAGAACCCCGGUGAGGGGAGUGAAAUAGAACCUGAAACCUUGUACGUACAAGCAGUGGGAGCCUUUUAAGGGUGACUGCGUACCUUUUGUAUAAUGGGUCAGCGACUUAUAUUUUGUAGCGAGGUUAACCGAAUAGGGGAGCCGAAGGGAAACCGAGUCUUAACUGGGCGUCUAGUUGCAAGGUAUAGACCCGAAACCCGGUGAUCUAGCCAUGGGCAGGUUGAAGGUUGGGUAACACUAACUGGAGGACCGAACCGACUAAUGUUGAAAAAUUAGCGGAUGACUUGUGGCUGGGGGUGAAAGGCCAAUCAAACCGGGAGAUAGCUGGUUCUCCCCGAAAUCUAUUUAGGUAGAGCCUUGAGCGGACACCUUCGGGGGUAGAGCACUGUUUCGGCUAGGGGUCCAUCCCGGAUUACCAACCCGAUGCAAACUACGAAUACCGAAGAGUGAUACUCAGGAGACACACGGCGGGUGCUAACGUCCGUCGUGGAGAGGGAAACAACCCAGACCGCCAGCUAAGGUCCCAAAGUCUAUAUUAAGUGGGAAACGAAGUGGGAAGGCUUAGACAGCUAGGAUGUUGGCUUAGAAGCAGCCAUCAUUUAAAGAAAGCGUAAUAGCUCACUAGUCGAGUCGGCCUGCGCGGAAGAUGUAACGGGGCU